AGCUCGAACCGCCCUUCUCCGCUCCAUCUGCGCCGCCCAUUGCACGAUGGACGGCGGCGAGUACGCGUCCAGCCGCGGCCCGGGCGCUCCGACGCCGGCGCGUGUCUCGCUUGCCCACCUCGGCUCCCCCUCCCCUCGCCGCCUCUCUGGCUGUUUCGAAGAGCCGAGCCGGCCGGCGCUGAAGAAGAUCGCUUGGGUCUCGCUCCAGGGCCGCCUCGUCGGCGCAGAGGAGGCCACAUCGGCCGGCGCAAUCGGAGGCGGCUUGAGCGCUGAUGAAGCGGUGGCAUGGGAUCUCUUUAGCCCUCUCCAUCGGGUCCUCGUAGUCGCCGUCGUCGCGGCAGCCGCUUACAACUCGAAGAGGGCUCGGCAGAUCGAACAGUUUCAGAGAUCCGUAGAGCUAAGGGACGAGGUGCUCCUCAGCAUGCAGCAGAAGCUUGAUAAUUUAUGUGAGCAGAUGAACUCCCUUCAGGAUCAACCAGUCAAAUGCAUUUCGGGGCUUUCAUUGGAGAAUGAUCAAUUCAAUUCUGAGGUGAAGCAAUCACAGGUUGCAUCUCAAUUUUGUGGUUCUAGGACUUCACUGCUGGAGCUUAACCCUGAGAGUGGAAGUUUGCCUCUUUGUAGACACGUAUCAAGUGGGCUACAUGGAGGGAAAGAUGCCACUGGGAUAGAGUCUGCAAAAGAGGAGGCCUUCAACGCAGAUAAUUUGAUCCCAACGGAGCAAGAAGAGCGUCGGAUGUCUGAUUUGUCUGAUUUUAAUUGGAGUGUUACAUCUUCUGUUGACUUUCAGCUAAGUGCACUAGCAUCAGAGCAAGAAUUCUAUAACCUUCGCAAGGAGUGUGAAGAGAAGGAUGCAAAAAUAAAGGAAUUAGCUAUUGCUGUUGAUGCAUUUAGGGCUGCUGACUGUAAGAGGAUAACGGAACUUGAAGAAAUCAUAAGGAGGAGGAACUUGGUGAUCUCCAAACUGAAGAAAGAUAAGGCUGUUCUCGAGAAACAGGUUGUUGAGCUUACAAGGCUCCGGAGAAGUUCUUCUACUGCUUUGGACACUAGCAAUCUGCAGCCUCCAGUCAUGGCAAAUAAUAUCCUGUAUGACAUGAGUAGUACUAGUCCAUCAUCUUCUGACCCGGAUUCUCCUAUGACCAGCAAACAAUACCAUUCUCAACGUUCUGUUGCUGAGGAUAAUCCUCAGCGUCAUGACAUUAGAAUGGCUGAAAUUAUAAGUCCAUCCUCAGUGGAGCAUUUAAUUCCCUUGAACAAAUCAAAUGAUGGGUCUCUAAAGCAACAAUUUAUUAGUCCUCUUAAAGAGAACCAAAGGAUUCAGAGAUCUGAACCAGCUUCUGCAUUAAGACAGAGACGAAUUGUGCAUUUUAGUGAAGAUUCCAAGAGAACCAGAAGGGCUGCUCACCAGAAAGCAAAUUACACCUCUUCAAAAAUGAGAUGGACCUAAAUAUUAAUGUCAAUAGGGACCAAGAUGGCACUUACAAUAUCUUUGUACUGAGGCAUCCUAUUGUUGGAUAUGCAUUCAAUUGGUUCUGUUGGACAAGUUAUUGAUGACAUUCAAGUUUAUAUUCUGUGAAAUGUACAUGAAGAGCAGGUACUUGAAGAGGAAGCAUUGAUGAUAUGUAGGCACCGGGUGGAAUUAUCAAUUUUGUACAGUUUUAUGGCACUGCAGCUGAAACCCAACAAAAACUUGUUUAUUUAAGAAAAGAUUAUAACAUACUGAGAGUUCUAAGAUUUUAUUUGUCAUAUGUUAAUGCUGAACAAUUUUCAGGUGCAAACACUAAUGCAAGCUGUGCAAUGCUCAUUAAUCUCCA